AGGAAUCUGCCUGGUAGUGGGGGAUAACGUUCGGAAACGGACGCUAAUACCGCAUACGUCCUACGGGAGAAAGCAGGGGACCUUCGGGCCUUGCGCUAUCAGAUGAGCCUAGGUCGGAUUAGCUAGUUGGUGAGGUAAUGGCUCACCAAGGCGACGAUCCGUAACUGGUCUGAGAGGAUGAUCAGUCACACUGGAACUGAGACACGGUCCAGACUCCUACGGGAGGCAGCAGUGGGGAAUAUUGGACAAUGGGCGAAAGCCUGAUCCAGCCAUGCCGCGUGUGUGAAGAAGGUCUUCGGAUUGUAAAGCACUUUAAGUUGGGAGGAAGGGUUGUAGAUUAAUACUCUGCAAUUUUGACGUUACCGACAGAAUAAGCACCGGCUAACUCUGUGCCAGCAGCCGCGGUAAUACAGAGGGUGCAAGCGUUAAUCGGAAUUACUGGGCGUAAAGCGCGCGUAGGUGGUUUGUUAAGUUGGAUGUGAAAUCCCCGGGCUCAACCUGGGAACUGCAUUCAAAACUGACUGACUAGAGUAUGGUAGAGGGUGGUGGAAUUUCCUGUGUAGCGGUGAAAUGCGUAGAUAUAGGAAGGAACACCAGUGGCGAAGGCGACCACCUGGACUAAUACUGACACUGAG
rnacentral:rRNA from 1 species